UCACGUGCUGAUCUGCUUCGUCAUUCCCAGGACCUGGAGCUCAAGCGCUGCUCUACUUUGGUUUGAUCAACUCCCCUAUUUCUCAUGGAAGUAAAUGGUUGAAUUUGAUCAAUUUCUCUAUUUGUCCAUGGAAGAAGAAACUAUGAAAGAAACAGAGGUGGCAGAGGAGAUUAACAGAUCAAGCAAUGAUCCUAAUUUAAAUAGGUUUGGUACCUCAUGUUGGCAUGGAAUUUACAAAUUC